rnacentral:rRNA from 1 species
CCCAAAGUCCGGGCAGGCCUAACACAUGGCAAGUCGAACGGUAGCACAGAGAGCUUGCUCUCGGGUGACGAGUGGCGGACGGGUGAGUAAUGUCUGGGAAACUGCCUGAUGGAGGGGGAUAACUACUGGAAACGGUAGCUAAUACCGCAUAACGUCGCAAGACCAAAGAGGGGGACCUUCGGGCCUCUUGCCAUCAGAUGUGCCCAGAUGGGAUUAGCUAGUAGGUGGGGUAACGGCUCACCUAGGCGACGAUCCCUAGCUGGUCUGAGAGGAUGACCAGCCACACUGGAACUGAGACACGGUCCAGACUCCUACGGGAGGCAGCAGUGGGGAAUAUUGCACAAUGGGCGCAAGCCUGAUGCAGCCAUGCCGCGUGUAUGAAGAAGGCCUUCGGGUUGUAAAGUACUUUCAGCGGGGAGGAAGGUGUUGUGGUUAAUAACCACAGCAAUUGACGUUACCCGCAGAAGAAGCACCGGCUAACUCCGUGCCAGCAGCCGCGGUAAUACGGAGGGUGCAAGCGUUAAUCGGAAUUACUGGGCGUAAAGCGCACGCAGGCGGUCUGUCAAGUCGGAUGUGAAAUCCCCGGGCUCAACCUGGGAACUGCAUUCGAAACUGGCAGGCUAGAGUCUUGUAGAGGGGGGUAGAAUUCCAGGUGUAGCGGUGAAAUGCGUAUACAUCUGGAGGAUACGGGUGGCGAAGGCGGCCCCCUGGACAAAGACUGACGCUCAGGUGCGAAAGCGUGGGGAGCAAACAGGAUUAUAUACCCUGGUAGUCCACGCCGUAAACGAUGUCGAUUUGGAGGUUGUGCCCUUGAGGCGUGGCCUCCUGGAGCUAACGCGUUUAAAUCGACCGCCUGGGAGUACGGCCGCCAAGUUAAAACUCAAUGAAUUGACGGGGGCCCGCCACAAGCCGUGGAGCAUGUGGUUUAUUCGAUGCAACGCGAAGAACCUUACCUGUGUCUUGACAUCCACCGAAACUUUCCAGAAAUGCAUUGUGCCCUUCGGGAAACUGUGAAGACGGUGCUGCAUGGCUGUUCG